rnacentral:ribozyme from 1 species
AUUUUCAAAUGUUUUCUCUCAUCCCGCUACCGUCCCGCCUCUCAACACGAGUGAGCCCUCGACGCCUAGGGACGAAGAAGAAGUCAUUGAUCUUGAUGAAGACGACCCUCACUUUGCUGACUUGCUUCGAGAUUGUCACUCUGGUGGAGACGAGUUAGAGGAGUCCGCCCAACAGUUAGCAGAAAAUCGAUUUUUUCAAGGAUUCU